ensembl:lncRNA
GAGUUUCGAAGCACCAUGGAUGAUGAAUUUGAAGGUAAAUGCACCUUUCAAUUGUUUGCCAACCGCCAAUACGACUGUCAGAAAGAAAGAAAGAAGAAAGAGUUUGAAGGUACCAGCUCUCAGUCUGUGAGCUCAUCUGAAGAUGAUGGGACAGAUGACUGGAAACCCACACAGGAUGAAUCUGAAGGCUAUUCAGAAGAGGAGGAAGAACAAGAACGUAAAAGGAUUCCUAAGAUGGUGGCAGCAUCUGAAGAGGAUGGGACACAUGAUAGCAGACCCACACAAGAUGAAUCUAAAGAUGAUUCAAAGGAUGAAGCAGAACAUUUGGGACAAAUGAUUCACAAAGUGGCCAUGGAAAAGAUGCAGCAGGCCUAUGUAAGCCAAGACAAAGCAAUGACUGUGAAUAAGAGUUCAGAAAAAAGGGUGAUUCACCAAACCAGAUGCUUGAAGAGGCUCACUUUUCAUCAGUCAACUCUCUUUGAAGACACGAUACCAAGAUCUGAUAACAACAAGAAAGACCAAAGUGGAAUGUCAUCUGCAGCAAUAAUAACCUCAGAACAACUGGAGGAGAAAGAGAUACAAGAAGAGUCUCUGGAGAAGAUGAAGAGUGAAGACAAAGAAGGGAAGAGAAAAGAAAAAGUACAGCAGGAGCCUCUGGAGAAGAUGAGCGGCAAAAGGCAAAGGAAGGAAGAAAAGAUACAGGCAGAGCCUCUGGAGAAGAUGAGCGGCAAAAGGCAAAGGAAGGAAGAAAAGAUACAGGCAGAGCCUCUGGAGAAGAUGAGCGGCAAAAGGCAAAGGAAGGAAGAAAAGAUACAGGCAGAGCCUCUGGAGAAGAUGAAGAGUGAAGCCAAAGUAGGAAAGAGAAAAGAAAAAGUACAGCAGGAGCCUCUGGAGAAGAUGAGCGGCAAAAGGCAAAGGAAGGAAGAAAAGAUACAGGCAGAGCCUCUGGAGAAGAUGAGCGGCAAAAGGCAAAGGAAGGAAGAAAAGAUACAGGCAGAGCCUCUGGAGAAGAUGAGCGGCAAAAGGCAAAGGAAGGAAGAAAAGAUACAGGCAGAGCCUCUGGAGAAGAUGAGCGGCAAAAGGCAAAGGAAGGAAGAAAAGAUACAGGCAGAGCCUCUGGAGAAGAUGAAGAGUGAAGCCAAAGUAGGAAAGAGAAAAGAAAAAGUACAGCAGGAGCCUCAGGAGAAGAUGAGUGAAGGGGGAAAGGACUCUGAAAAUAAGGUGCAAUUUAUUCCAUUGCUCCCAGUAAGCCC